UGAUGAGUCACUGGGGGAAGUUGGGCUACAUUCAGCUCCCUUGAAAGAAAGCAAGGAAGUGUGGCACGCAUUGAAAAUGCUCUCUCAAACCAGGAGAUGAGCUAUUUGGCACAAUGCUGAAGCCCCAGGAGCCUCAGAGAAUGGAAAUCCUGGGAAUGAGAGCAUCCCUCACUUGCAGAGAAUGUUCUACCCGUUAUCUAGAUGCUUGAAGAAUUCUCAGCCUGGAUGGUGGAUGCUUCUUCAAAAGAAAUCGGAGUGGACUCUUCAAAUAGUCCUUCUAGAGACUGAAGUGGCUCAGUUGGUGAUGUGUCUGCUGGGCAAGCAUGAGGACCUGAGUUCCAGCACCUGUGCAAAAGCAGAGCGAGCAGUGUACUGUCAUCACAGCACUGGGGAGGCAGAGGCAGCCUGACCCCUGAAGCUUAUUGGUCAGCCCAGCUUAGUGCAACUGGUGCAUUGCCAGUUCAGUAAAAUAGACUGUCUCAAAAAGGUGGAGAGCAAUUGAGGAGGACACGUGACAUUGACCCUUGUAUGUAUACCAGCUUGUACAUGGACCAUAUACAGGGAGGUGGGUGGGGAGGUAGAGAGAUCGCGCUUUU
ensembl:lincRNA